rnacentral:lncRNA from 1 species
UCCGGCAGAGAGUGAGAUUGAUAGAUAUUGAGCUCUAGGUUCAAUCGUUCAGGGCUAUUAGAGGGCCUCCGAUUGAUUAUUUCUUUUACCUGAUUAUAUUAUGUUAAUGCAUUCAUACUAAACUGUUGAAAUUGGCAUGGUACAUUCUUUAUUGAAUCUGUUAUAAGAUUGAUGAUCGAGACAGUUGAGAUAUAUAUGCUAUAUACUAUUUUUCUGGGAAAGUAUACAGGUUUUCCAAAAAGGGGUUAUAAAUGUGGAUUCAUGAAAUGUUUUGGAAAAGCUUUAUUUUCGCCCACUCACGUUUUCUGUUUUUCGCCCCUCCAGGUUCUAGUUGAUAGUUGAGG